AGCCACUGUAGCUUUUCAGAAGGAGCUGUUGUGCUCAAAGUUCAAACAGUAUCAUGUUUUUCUUAAAACAAGUCCAGCCCACCUACAUUAUGUCCAUCUGCAACUGACACGUGAUAUUCUACUGUAAACGCUCACAAAUCAACAAUGUCCAGUCAGUUCAAGUACACUUGCAACCCAACAAUUUCCACAAAAGAAAGCUCUUCCCAUCUAAACACCUCAUACCAGAGAGUGAACAUCAAGACGGGGUUAAUUCAAAGUCAAAGAAACUUCAGUGCUGACAAAACUGCAACUUUCGAGCCAAACUGUGUGGAAUGACAACAUUACAAUGGGAUGCUGGUAUUUAAUCUCAAAUGUUUCCAUUCAUCAAUCUAAAGGAAGGAGUUUUAUCUACACAACAAAAGACACUGAAGUGUCUCCGCUCAAUUGCCAUGGUGAAACAUGCCCGGUAAAACACCACUUCCCACAAACUCGCACUCACUGCAGAUAUAAUUGGCGAACUCUGCAGAUCUCUAUUAAUUAAUGUUCCAGUAAAUUCUACCACACUGCAGCCUCUAACUCUCACCAUACGCCAGGACGUACCUCAAAUAACACGAUCACCAUCUCCUGCACAGUACAAAACCUUUCUUUUUUUUUUUGUAUUCCAAAAUAAUUUUACUUCAACACGUUUUUAUUGUUGCACUGUUUGUUCACUACUAAAAUUGCACAAUUUUUACAAUCAUGAAGGCACUUGUACACACACUGCAUGCCUACACAUUUAUGAGCAUCUGCAUUUUAAAGACACACUUGCAAUGCACACACUUUACUUACUAAUGUGUGUAUGUUUACAAACUUGACUGUAAAUAUUACCUUGAAUUAUUAAAUUGCUGUAUUUUAUAUUCUGUACUGUUGUAAAAUGUCUAAU